CCCGUGGGCUUCUCUCUGUGGAAAAUGGUGGAGGCUGCUUCUGCCCCAGGAGGGAGAAACACCGACUCCCUGGCUUUGGCGCCAGAAGCCUGGAUCGGCUGCCAGGUGACAUAUUUCUAUCUGGUUCUCGUCUUGGGGGGCCCUGGCCGGGCAGCCCCCCAACACUUCUCCUGCCCUGAAACACGGCUCUAGCCAACCUGCUCCGCUGCUUCACCUGCGACCGUCUCUGCGGGGGCUGCACGGCGCCAGCCCCGCCAGCCCGCCAGGGCAUUGUCCUCCAGCCCGUCAUGCCCAGCUGUGACCCCGGUCCGGGCCCUGCCUGCCUCCCCACCAAGACUUUCCGCAGCUACCUGCCCCGCUGUCACCGCACUUACAGCUGUGUCCACUGCCGUGCACACCUGGCCAAACACGAUGAGCUUAUUUCCAAGUCCUUCCAAGGGAGCCAUGGCCGAGCCUACCUGUUUAACUCCGUGUGAGUCUACCUCUUUCCUUGUGCGUGUGCUUGUGCUUAUGUGUGAGUGAGUAAUUUUCCUCUGUGGAGAAAGGGGGGAAUCCAUCAGGUGAUCUUGUGCCUUCAGUCUUUGCCUCCCCUUUUGCAAAGGGGGUCUCAGUCUGAAGUUCUCACAUGGGGAACCCCGGGGAGAAUUGAAAUCAUAACGUUGGAAAAAGAAGGCCCAGGCUCUAGUCUUAAAGGGGUGGAUUAUCAAAGGCAGGGGCUGUCCAGUUCUCUCCAGAUGGAAGUUCCCUUGGGCUGUCUGGGGAUUGGACUGACAGUGCAACCCCACUGGGUGCUGGGUCCUUCCUGUUUCCUGAGACAGGGUCAACGUGGGUUGCGGGCCAGCUGAACAGCGCCUCUUGCUCACGGGGCUCCACUCGGUAGCUGACAUUUUCUGUGAGAGCUGCAAAACCACACUGGGCUGGAAAUAUGAACAAGCUUUUGAGACGAGCCAGAAGUACAAGGAAGGGAAAUACAUCAUUGAAAUGUCACACAUGGUGAAGGACAACGGCUGGGACUGAGGGGCUCAGGCAGGCUGUGCCCUUCCUCCGCAUGCCCCUCCCUCCCCACAGCCCUGCCAAGCAGUCUAUACCAGCAUGAGUACUGCCCCACCCCUGGGGGAAACCUGGCUCCAACCAACCCCUCCCCUGCCUCCACCAUAUCCACUACCAGGCACCCUUUGGAACAGGGGUCUGGGGGUACCCCAGGGGUGUUAAGGCUCAGGAGUGGGCAGCAGUCAGGGAGACACAGAACUGGGGGAAAGGGAUGGCUGUGGGUCUUUCUGUUCCCAAGAUCCUGAACAUGGAGGCGAUGGCAGGGCGUAGACUCAGGCAGAGAGGAUUGUGGGAGGAAUCCGUUUUUGCUCCACCUCUUUUUGAGUGAACAGAGGACAAACCUUGGGUCACAGGGCUAGUAGAUCGUGGACCACAGAACAGCAGAUGAGAAAAGGCUUGGGUUGGAGUGAAAUUUUGGUCUCAGACACCAGGAGAGACCACAGUCUCUGAGGAUGAAGUUUCCCACCCCUAUUUGUAGGGAAAAGGACUUGGGUGCAGGGAAAACUCAAAUCCCAGGCCCUGGGAAAUAGUAAAAUAAUCAAAGGGUUUUCCAUUUCACUCCACUUGUUAGUUUAUCUUGGCACUGAAGAGGCACUUUCGAGUAUCUAACUUUUGCCAUUGGGUGGGGUGGGGACAGCUGCUCGCGGAACAGCCCCCACCCCUAGUCGGCUGCUUCCAGAGUAAGCAGUCUUUAUGGGCUUUCUCUGAGGCCCAGUCACUGCUCCUGGGACCCAGUCCCCUGGAGGGGAGGUGGAAAAUCAGUGCUACGGGGCCAGUCUUUCCCGUGGCUGCCACCAGCGAAUGAAACUUUUGUAUGAUACAUAAAGUGCUUGAGUCUAUUUUUAAUAAAAAGGGAAAAAGCAACUUGA
rnacentral:sRNA from 1 species